UUCCUUUCAAUUCUGGCACUUAAGGAGACGGGGCCUGAGGAGCAGAACCAGCAACACAGAGUCUUGUCGGCUUGUAGACAGAAGAGCCCAUCCAUUCGAGAGUGAAGUGCUGAGUUUCCAGUUCAGAUUGCAAAGUCCCUUGAGAAUUCAUAAAUCACUUUAAAUACAGUGACACUGCCUUGCAGCAGAUUGCAAAGUCGGGAAAAUCUGAGACUCUUAACGCUACUUACCAACAGCUCAAGGCUAUUGACGUCAAUAUGUUUGACAACAGCAAGGUCCAUCUUGAC